UACUACCAAUCGAGAGAGUGCGUGGGAAACGCCGCCGAAGAGGCAAGUCCGGUUACUUAAGGAUGAAUCUUUCAGGCAAAAGGAUCGAUAGCGGUUA
rnacentral:ncRNA from 2 species